CAGCUAGUUGGUGAGGUAAUGGCUCACCAAGGCUAUGAUCGUUAGCUGGUCUGAGAGGAUGGCCAGCCACACUGGAACUGAGACACGGUCCAGACUCCUACGGGAGGCAGCAGUGGGGAAUCUUGCACAAUGGGCGAAAGCCUGAUGCAGCGACGCCGCGUGGGGGAUGAAGCUUCUCGGAGUGUAAACCCCUUUCGACCCGGACGAAUACCUCGCAAGAGGGGUGACGGUACGGGUAUAAGAAGCCCCGGCUAACUACGUGCCAGCAGCCGCGGUAAGACGUAGGGGGCCAGCGUUGUUCGGAAUUACUGGGUGUAAAGGGUUCGUAGGCGGUGUGGCAAGUCGGGAGUGAAAUCUCUGGGCUCAACCCAGAGUCUGCUUCCGAAACUGCUGUGCUUGAGUGUGGGAGAGGCGCGUGGAAUUGCAGGUGUAGCGGUGAAAUGCGUAGAUAUCUGCAGGAACACCCGUGGCGAAAGCGGCGCGCUGGACCACUACUGACGCUGAGGAACGAAAGCUAGGGGAGCAAACAGGAUUAGAUACCCUGGUAGUCCUAGCCCUAAACGAUCAGGACUUGGGGUGCCACCCGUUCGGGU
rnacentral:rRNA from 1 species